ensembl:lncRNA
GUUAACACUAUUGGAAGGUGUUGUGAUAUUUUGAUACCAUGGUAGCAUUUACAGGAUAUUGUUUUGUAGUGAUAUUAUACAGAAAAGAGUUACUCAAUAAGGCCCAUUUACUAGUUGUUUUUCUCUUUCUCUCUGACCCAAGAAUUAAUGUGUAAGAAUCACAGGCUGGUACCCCAAGGUCGAAAAUACCACAGAGACGAGACCACUUCCUUACUCCCAUCCUCCCUUCCUUAUCUUUUAGAAAAGAGCUUGUUAAAAAGCCAGGUGGUUUGUUUCAGAAUUCACUAAUGAAAGAACUCUGUAUUCUAUGUCUAGGAGUGUAUUUUGCUGGGAUGAUCAUAAAUUGUAGCUGAACUGAUAAACUACACGAAGGAUACUUCUUUGCUCAGAAGGCAGGAAGACGUUUCCUUAUUUGGUCUGUACCGGUUUGAACUGAGAACCUGCUGACACACGAACCUUUUUUUCCUCUAUAUAAGCUGUUUUGUACUAAAUAAACCUUUGAGUUGGUUUGGGAAGGCAACCUGAAGCAGUCUGUGUUUCCUUGUUCUCCCAAGCUACUCCCGGCGCUGUAACUAACCCAGCUGAACGGCAUACUUGAGCGUUACUUUGAAUAAUUAGGAAUCUUAUAAGGAAAGGACAAAACUCUGCUUAUCGGUGCUCACGCCUUGGAGGGAAACCGGGACGGAGAUUUUCUCUUCAGAAGGGAAAAUAACUUGAACUCCAAUUUUGAAAACAAAAAUUUCUUUCUUUCUUCUUCUUCUUUUUUUUUUUUUUUUUUAAUAAAGCUCUGACUUGUAUUAUGAGUCUGAGUCUGUGGUCUGGGAGAGAGUCCUGUAACUCUCUGUCUGCAAAAUACAGUAUAUAAUGACCAAUGUUGGGCAAUUAAUUAUAUAGUUACUUCUAAAAAAAAGUAACUGAGUUUUGCAAACAACAAAGUUUUUUGCGGCUAUUUAAUGCAACCAAGGCGUUUAAAAAAAUAAAAAUAAAAAAUAAACAUUUCAAAGUAUUUCCAGAAUACAAAUCUGAUGCUACACAAAUUAUUUGUGUCACUCCAAAAAAUAAUUUCUGUCCACUAUGAGAUAAAGGAGCCUGAUACCUGCAGGCCUGACAACAGAAGAUGUAUCACUCCUGUAACACCUGUAACAUUCAGCAGUCGCCUCAUUGUUCUGACACACAUAACAAAAGUAUUGACUACACUACACAUUAACUACACAACACAACACACUAACUUUAGACUCCAAACACGCUAAACGACGCAAAUCUCUCACAUCUCAAACCACUGCUGUCACUCUUAAAACUCCCCCCCUUCUUAAAUAACUAAAUGCCAUGUUGCCAUAUAAUUUUUGAUUGGUCGACAUGGUACAUUUUUCCACCAAUAGGAAAGGGUGGGGUUUUGGUUUUGCUCACAGGCGGAGAGUGCUUUUGAGCGCUUUACUUCUA